AUCGCCUUGGCCGAGUGGUUAAGGCAUGUGCCUGCUAAGUACAUGGGAUUUUUUGCGAAAGUUUGAAUCUCUCAGGCGACG
rnacentral:tRNA from 1 species